rnacentral:rRNA from 1 species
UACAGAGGUCCCGAGCGUUGUUCGGAAUCACUGGGCGUAAAGGGUGCGUAGGCGGGUUUUUAAGUCAGGGGUGAAAUCCUGGAGCUCAACUCCAGAACUGCCUUUGAUACUGGGGAUCUUGAGUUCGGGAGAGGUGAGUGGAACUGCGAGUGUAGAGGUGAAAUUCGUAGAUAUUCGCAAGAACACCAGUGGCGAAGGCGGCUCACUGGCCCGAUACUGACGCUGAGGCACGAAAGCGUGGGGAGCAAACAGG